UGAACAGAGUACCCUGUAUGCCACGGCACAUGGAAAAGGAAAAGAAAUUUUGAUACCUGAUCCUGGCUGGUACUUUAUACCUUAUUCAGUUCUCACUGCAGGUACCGUGCUAUUUGGCAUCUCGAGGUCUCUGUUGAUGUUCUACUUCCUUGUUAAUUCUUCACAAACUCUGCACAAGCGAAUGUUGGAGUCCGUUUUGAGAGCUCCGGUAUUGUUCUUUGAUAGAAAUCCAACAGGAAGAAUUUUAAAUCGUUUCUCCAAAGACACUGGGCAUAUGGAUGACUUGCUGCCCCAGAUAAUUCAAGAUUUU